AAGACGCGUGCUAAAAGAAAUCGACUUAUUUUGCUUUGAGUUCACAUAUCUUUAACCCUUUACCUCCCGAGUUAUUUUAGAAAAAAACGUGCGCAAAAUGC
rnacentral:lncRNA from 1 species